AGUGGAACUGCUAGUUCAUAGGUAAUUCUAUGUUUAACUUUUUGAGAAACUGACAGACUGUGUCUCAAAGUGACUGUACCAGUUUCCAUUCCCACCAGCAGU
rnacentral:pre_miRNA from 1 species